UCCGGCUUGACGCCGGCAGUCUCGCUAGAGUCCCCGGCAUGACCCGCUGGUAACUAACGAUAAGGGUUUCGCUCGUUAAGGGACUUAACCCGACACUUCACAGCACGAGCUGACGACAGCCAUGCAGCACCUGUGCUAGUUUCACCAGAGGCAGCAUAGCCCGCUUUCACGGGUGCAUCCUAGCAUGUCAAACCCAGGUAAGGUUCUUCGCGUUGCUUCGAAUUAAUCCACAUGCUCCACCGCUUGUGUGAGCCCCCGUCAAUUCCUUUGAGUUUUAGCCUUGCGGCCGUACUCCCCAGGCGGCGCACUUAACGCUUUCGCUACGGCACCAAUACCCGUCAGAGGUUCUGAUACCUAGUGCGCAUCGUUUACGGCGUGGACUAC
rnacentral:misc_RNA from 1 species